GAGUUGAUCUGUCAUACAGACACGGCGACGCCUGUGAGCUGUGAAUCGUCAAACGAUCUCAUCGAGACGCACAUAUAUUGCCGUACAUGGUGUAGAAGAUAUCUGAAAUCAAUAUGUCAGUACCGUGAUGUGUUGUGUCUCGCAAUACGGCCGGCAACUACAGCGGACUUGUUCUUGGCUGGUUACUCGACCGCCACUAGCAACGGCGGCAAAUGGCCUGCGAGGCGGGUUCGGAAGAUGAAGAGCAGCUGAAUCUAGCCAUCGCCCAGUCCCUCUCAGAGGAAGAGCAACUGACCCUAGCUAUCGCACUGUCCGCCUCUGAGGAGGAAGCGCAGCUGAAUGAAGCUGUCGCCGCCUCCCUAACGGAGGAGGAAGAGCAAUCCAAUGAAGCCGUCGCUACGUUCCAACCGGAGGAGCAGCCCACGUCAAGAACAGAGGCAACUUCUUCAGGGGUGGAAACAACGACCAACCAGGAUGAGGACUGCCUGCUAGCCACUGUUAUGGCCAUGUCUCAGCUGGAUGUGAAUGCGCCUUCACCCGGAACAGAGUCAGCCCCGCACGCUCGCUCGUCUGAUGCUCUGCAAAGCGAGCUGAACUGUCCCGUCUGCCUAGAACUACUCAACAAAGCCACGACCCUCGGCUGUGGGCACACCUUCUGCGCCGACUGCGUAGGAAGAUCACGCAGCGGAAACAACAAGUGUCCAAUGUGCCGAAAGCCAAUCAACUCUACUGUCCACUGCAUCACGCUGGACAAUGUUAUCAAAGCACUCGCUGCCAGGGAUAGACGUCUACCUAACCAACGCAUUAGAAAAGAUUUAUAGGAGACACAGCAGGACAUCUUCACCUAGAACUGAUGACCGUGGCUCAUUCCCUGGUGACAUGUGACCAUGAGUCAUGACCAAACACAGUGUCACCGUAGUAACCAGACCCGAGGGAGAGUGCAGCAAACUAGUCUCGCGGCCUUACACUGCGUCUGGUCGGUUUUUAUCAGCCGCUGUUCAGUGUUCACUGCUCAGCAGCCAAGAGAGACAAGAUCAGUCUGAGAGGCUGAAGUGACAGCAGCGGCAACAGGGCUUCACCGCCGGUAUAAGACAGAUAUUGACGUCAUUUGGUGGGUAACUUUGUCAGCUGAUCGAUCAAAACCGGUCAGGUGUGCGCUCAUUAUGGUGAUUAGUGGCAUUGAGCGGCACACUAGCGAGGGCCACCACUGUCUGUCUGCUCUCCACGGGAAGGUGUGGCAGAGCGAUUAGGAGGGGGAGGGAGAGGGGUUGCAGACCGUUCAGAGGGGUGAUUCAGGACUAGUCUUUGCUGAGAGACCAAAAUCGGUAGCAUUUCGGCUUUACUUUAUGACGUUUAAACGGUGUAGAAGAAUCAGAAUAGUUAACGUUUAACCACAAGUAGUUGAGGUUAAGUUAACCGUUAACUAAACGAAUCAACAAAAAUGCUUCAAUCCAUAUGGGUAGAAGCUAUUUGUGUGAUAUAAAAUGUAUUCGGUAUAUUUUUUCCUGUCUGAGGUAACUGAACGUCGCCACCAUAUUUUCAGCAGUUCAUUUUUUCCAUUGCUGCUCAAAUCUUGUAAAGACGGACAACCAGGCUGCGUUUCAUUCCAGCGCCACUCCAUUCCUAAUCUGUUAGCUAUACACAGCUUCUGAAGAUACCGACUCAAAGACUCCCGCGUAUCCAAACCUGGUAAACUAAUCGGGAGCCACCCUCAUCAGCGCAGUAGCCAAUCAGGCCCAAUUAGACCAACUGCCUAAUCAUCAGGCAUCUGACGCUGCCUGCCCGGCACGACCCGGCGGCAUUGCGUAUAACGGAAACCCGCGGCCCACAGCAGAGGUCCAGACCUGCAGUGGGCUGGUCUGGUCCCGACUAUAGCCUAGUCUCUGGUCCAGACCAGUGGUCUGGUCUGGUCGUAGAGCGGCUGGGGCGUCGUCAGUGUCACUGUCGACAGGGGAUCUCUCUCUCUCUCUCUCUCUCUCUCUCUCUCUCUCUCUCUCUCUCUCUCUCUCUCUCUCUCUCUCUCUCUCUCUCUCUCUCUCUCUCUCUCUCUCUCUCUCUCUCUCUCUCUCUCUCUCCCUCUCUCUCUCUCCCUCAGGGGGAACUGACAUCGAGGCUCUCAUUCAUCAUCAGGGGACUGAUGGACAUGACAAGUUUGACAUGGAACCACGCCACUGAGCGCGACAGUGAUAACGUAAUUGAAAGGGUGAUGUCAAACAGCGCCUAACACGCCGGACGGGUUGGAGACGAAAUAUGACACCCGAUACGAGGCUCAGGCGCGAAGAAGCUGAAUUUAUUAAUGUCGUUAUCUUCGCUCCGAGGGUUUGUGAUUGAAUUACGGGGUAAGCCGUUAGCAGGGCGCCACACUGUGGACACAUGACACGCAUAAUCUAACAAAUGAGGUAACUAGGAACAUAAAGACUGUCGCUAUUUUAGCUUCAAAUAAGCUAAGAGUUGAUCUCGCCAAAAAUCUGGAUUUUUUUCUUUUUUCAUUCUUUGACUUUCACGUUUUUGUAUGUCAUAUGAUGAAAAUAAAACAUAAACAAAACGCCA